UAGCUUUAGCGAUGGAUCGGUUGAUUCGCGUAUCGAUGAAAAACGCAGCAAGCUGCGUUAUUUACCACGAAUUGCAGACGCUUAGAGUGGUGAAGUUUUGAACGCACAGCGCCGUUGGGUUUUCCCUUCGGCACGUCUGGCUCAGGGUUG
rfam:Heterorhabditis bacteriophora unplaced genomic scaffold Scaffold305, whole genome shotgun sequence.